GAUGAAGAACGCAGCGAAAUGCGAUAAGUAAUGUGAAUUGCAGAAUUCAGUGAAUCAUCGAAUCUUUGAACGCACAUUGCGCCCCUUGGUAUUCCGAGGGGCAUGCCUGUUCGAGCGUCAUUAUAACCCCUCAAGCUUAGCUUGGUGUUGGGGCCUGCUGUAAUAGAGCGGCCCUUAAAAUCAGUGGCGGUGCCAUUAGGCUCUAAGCGUAGUAAUUCUUCUCGCUAUAGGGUUCUGGUGGAUGCUUGCCAUUAACCUCUAAUUUUCUAUGGUUGACCUCGGAUCAGGUAGGGAUACCCGCUGAACUUAAGCAUAUCAAUAAGCGGAGGA
rnacentral:misc_RNA from 1 species